AUAUUUUAACCUGCGUGUCGUGAUCGCGUUUGGUGUGGUAGGACAAAAUAAAUAUAUGCACGAUGGCGCACGCGUGCAGCCGGUUUGGAUAUGAAUUGGGGAGAAAAAUAAAUAUUUAAUUACUAUGUAGUUACAAUGUAAAAACCUUUGCAGUCAAUAGGUGAAGUAAGGAGACAGGAGAACAUUGUUCAGUUUGACUUUUCUGUAAUGGAUUUAAGAAAGAUUCAUAUUCAAUUAAUAAUUUCAGACUCUUAGCAAUAACUACUUUAGUGAGUAAAACAAACACAGGGUAGCAAAACUACCUAGUAAGUAGCUAGCUAAGCCCUGCAACAAUGUCAACAUGUUAUCCAACUCGGUCAAUAAACGUUACAAAAUUGUAACGUUAACAGAACUGCAGGAAAGCAGUGCUUGGCAGGCAGGGGCAAAGUACGCGGUCUACCGGUGUCCUAACUAGUGGUGUCGCCCCCACCGCCCGUCUGUGUACCGGUGUCCUAGCUUAAAAAUGUACAAUUUAAAGUAUAAAGAGAGGUUCCUGCAGAUGCAUGAUGAUUUUGUAACGUUUAUUGGCGUUGGAAAUGUGGAAAAUGUGUUGACAUUUUUCCAGGGUUUAGCUAGUUGCUAGCUAGCUACAUUAGUGAAUGAGUGCAUGGGGGAACGUUAGCUAGCUUUGCCACCCUGUGUUUGUACGUUUUACUCACUAAGUCUGCAAUGGGGAAUUACAUUUGAAUGGUUUGAAUAUUAACCUUUGUUAAAUUCAUUAAAAGGGAUACUUUUGGAUUUUGUCAAUGAGGCCCUUUAUCUACUUCCCCAGAGUCAGAUGAACACGUGGAUACCAUUUUUAUGUCUGCAUGCAGUUUGAAGGAAGGUAGCCUGGCGGGUAGGUGCGUUGGGCCAGUAACCGAAAGAUUGCUGGAUCGAAUCCUGAGCUGACAAGGUAAAAAUCUGUCAUUCUGCCCCUGAGCAAGGUAGUUAACCCACUGUUCCCCAGGCGCCGAAGACGUGGAUGUCUAUUAAGGCAGCCCUCCGCACCUCUCUGAUUCAGAGGGGUUGGGUUAAAUGCGGAAGAAACAUUUCAGUUGAAUGUAUUCAGUUGUACAACUGACUAGGUUUGCCCCUUUCCUGGGUAAGUACAUUGUAAAUACAUGUUUAUUCUUUGUAAUAACAGAGUUGGUUGAUAAAGGUUGUUUUAUUGUAAGUACAAUGCAACUAAAAGGGUUAUACCUAAUACUCUUGUCUCCUAACUUCUUGUUAGCCUAUUUCUGCAAAAUUGUUGUUACAUUGUAAGUACAUAGUAAUUCAAAAGUUAUUUCACUUUACAUUAAUUUGAUUUAUGUUGCUUGCUCCUAAGCCAGUACAUUACAGUUACAAGCAAUGUAACUGAUUGAAGUUCACUCAACUUUCUAGAGCAGUAAUCACAGCAGUAAUGACCAACCAGUCGGCAUUACUAGUCGAUCACCAAACAUUUCUGUAAAAAACCCAACAAAUUAUGCCUCGUGUUCCUAUUUUUUUGUCUCAGGCAGUUGACAGUAGGUGCAUCCGAUUCAGCUGUCUUUCGCACCGUGUAGGCGAACUGUUGCCAUUUUGAACCAUUUAAAUUGUCUUAAUGUACAACGUCUGCCUUCUCGGCGGGCCCAGAGAGCAAAUCAAGUACACCUCUGGCCAAUCGGAUGGCUCAGAUUACGGUGUCUGCAGUAAUGUAGCAGGCAUUAAAGAAAGCUACAGCAAAAUUGGUACUGUGAUAUUUCCAAAUGUUUAAAACCAAGACUAGAGAGAGACUGUCAACAAAUACAGCAAAUAGCAUGUUUAAGUCCUUACUCAGCACUGUCAACACUUUGUAUUCAACACUUUUAUAAGCCAUAAAAUUCUUGCAUUCUUACUAUUUCCACUCAGCGCUACAACAAGCAGUGCAGCAGUAAUGAAUGAGUAGGAAAGUGUAUCUUAUAAGCUUGCUUUGUUCUUAUUAGCGGCUGUAAGGAUCAGCUGUCAGGAAUCCCGCUUCCUGAGUCUGUUUUCUGCCUGAGCUGACUGUUUUUUGUUUUGGAGUCUGUUUCCUGAGGUUCCUGAACGCACCCUGUCUGGUUGCUGGGCGACGAAGCUAGGCGGGAGAACUCUUGAUUACCUGCAUCUCAUCAGCCAUCUGCACACCUGGUCCUGAUCAUCACCUCUUCAUAAGCCCUGACCUGACAUCCAUUCCCUGCCGGAUCGUUAGCAAUGAACAUCACCCUCCCGGAACAUUCAACUCCCUGGCCUGGCCGUCGGUGGUUUCAGUGACAUCAUUGGAUCUGCCUAUUCACUCUCAUCAAUUCACCUGCGCUGCCGCUCCGUCUCCUGGAUUAUUCUAUUUUCACCUCGAGACUGUAAAUAAAUACUCACCUUCAUUUUA